rnacentral:rRNA from 1 species
UUAGCAUAUCAAUAAGCGGAGGAAAAGAAACUAACAAGGAUUCCCCUAGUAACUGCGAGUGAAGCGGGAAAAGCUCAAAUUUAAAAUCUGGCGGUCUCUGGCCGUCCGAGUUGUAAUCUAGAGAAGUAAUGCCCGCGCUGGACCGUGUACAAGUCUCCUGGAAUGGGGCGUCAUAGAGGGUGAGAAUCCCGUCUCUGACACGGACUACCAGUGCGUUGUGGUAUGCUCUCAAAGAGUCGAGUUGUUUGGGAAUGCAGCUCAAAAUGGGUGGUAAAUUCCAUCUAAAGCUAAAUAUUGGCGAGAGACCGAUAGCGAACAAGUACCGUGAGGGAAAGAUGAAAAGAACUUUGGAAAGAGAGUUAAACAGUACGUGAAAUUGCUGAAAGGGAAACGCUUGAAGUCAGUCGCGUUGGCCAGGGAUCAGCCUCGCUCUUGCGUGGUGUACUUUCUGGUUGACGGGUCAGCAUCAAUUUUGACCGCUGGAAAAGGUCCUGGNNAAUGUGGCAGCUCCGGCUGUGUUAUAGCCCCUGGUCACAUACAGCGGUUGGGAUUGAGGAACUCAGCACGCCGCAAGGCCGGGUUUUUAACCACGUUCGUGCUUAGGAUGCUGGCAUAAUGGCUUUAAGCGACCCGUCUUGAAAAAACGGACCAAGGAGUCUAACAUGCCUGCGAGUGUUUGGGUG